rnacentral:rRNA from 1 species
GUUUAACGGCCGCGGUAUUCUGACCGUGCGAAGGUAGCGUAAUCACUUGUCUUUUAAAUAGAGACCUGUAUGAAUGGCAUAACGAGGGCUAAGCUGUCUCCUUUUUUCAGUCAAUGAAAUUGAUCUGCCCGUGCAGAAGCGAGCAUAAAUACAUAAGACGAGAAGACCCUAUGGAGCUUUAGACAAAAUAGACUAUGUUAAUGCACUUAGCUGAUAAGAUAACCAAAUAAUUAACUUUUACUGUCUUUGGUUGGGGCGACCGCGGGGGAAUAAAUAGCCCCCACGUGGAAAGCUUCCUUGAAACAAGGCCAACAGGCCUAGUAAGCAGAAUAUCUGACCAACAGAUCCGGCAAAGCCGAUCAACGGACCCAGUUACCCUAGGGAUAACAGCGCAAUCCCCUUCUAGAGCUCCUAUCGACAAGGGGGUUUACGACCUCGAUGUUGGAUCAGGACUUCCUAAUGGUGCAGCCGCUAUUAAGGG